GAAAGUAGGGCGGAGAAAGGUGGAUUUGGAGCCGCGGAGAUCAAUGAGGAACCCGCAUAACCUCCAGUCAUGCAGCUCAGUGCUAUGGCCAUCUGUGUGCUCAGGAGACACUGGUUGAAGACAAGAGAGAGGGGAUAGGCUAAUGCUGGAAGGACAGGUCCACCAUUCAGACAGAGGAAAUACACACCAAAUGGAAAAUGAGGACACAGAGAUUAACAUCCACAUUCUGAAAGCAAUAACAGUGCGGUGUUCAGUAAAUGGCUUGGUAAUAAAUUUCAUUUUAUCUCCUGAAUAAACAUCAAAUCCACCAGAUGGGGCUCUAAUAUUCUUUUAGUUCAAUGACUGAAAAUUCCCAGCAUUUACUAUUAUCUUUAGAGACAGAAAAUAUA